rnacentral:rRNA from 1 species
GAUGAACGCUAGCGGCAGGCCUAACACAUGCAAGUCGAGGGAUAAGCCCUUCGGGGUGGAAACCGGCGCACGGGUGCGUAACGCGUAUGCAACCUACCUUUCACAGGGGGAUAGCCCGAAGAAAUUUGGAUUAAUACCCCAUAAUAUUGUUGGAUGGCAUCAUCUGAUAAUUAAAGUUACGAUGGUGAAAGAUGGGCAUGCGUCCUAUUAGCUAGUUGGAGUGGUAACGGCACCCCAAGGCUACGAUAGGUAGGGGUCCUGAGAGGGAGAUCCCCCACACUGGUACUGAGACAGGGACCAGACUCCUACGGGAGGCAGCAGUGAGGAAUAUUGGUCAAUGGUCGAAAGACUGAACCAGCCAUGCCGCGUGCAGGACAGACGGCCCUAGAGGUUGUAAACUGCUUUUAUAUGGGAAGAAUAAGGAGUACGAGUACUUUGAUGACGGUACCAUAUGAAUAAAGCU